AAGCACAUAAAAAGAUGCUCACAUCAUUAGCCAUUAGGGAAAUGCAAAUCAAAACCACAAUGAGAUACCACUCCACAUACACUAGGUUUGCUGUAAGUGAUGACAACACUGAUGACAAUUGUUGGUGAGGAUGUCUAUGGCCCAGCAAUUCCACUCCUAGGUAUACACUGAAGAGACAUGAAAACAUACAUUCACAUAGAAAUCUGUACACGAAUGUUCACAGCAGCAUUAUUCAACAGGCAAAUCCAGAAACAGAAAGCAGAUUAGUGGUUGCAACAUCUAGGGGGAGAGGAGAAUGGGGAGUAACUACUAUUGGAACCAACCCAUCUCAGCUGCCACUGCCGUAAAAAUAAAGACAAAGCUUCUUCAUGUGGCCUCUGAUGCCCUGUAGGGUCUGCUUGUUCUAGGCUCCUGGCACCUUCCUCUAGCUGGAGUACCAUUGGCCUUUUUCAGUCCUUCACACUGGCCUCGCUUCCUCCUCCCGCAGGAUUCUUGUAAAUAAAAGUUCCUUGUGCUAGAGAGCUCUUCCCAACCUUUUCCACCUAGAUAAACUCUUCCUUAUCCUUCAAUUCCAAGCUCAAGCUUCCUCUGACCAGGGGAAAUCUGGCUGUCACAGGCUCUCCUGAUUCUGUGUCCUUCCCUUGCAGUAUUUGUACUAGUUGUCAUUUCGCAUUUGUAGGAUUCACGUCUGACAAGGCUUUGAGCU
rnacentral:lncRNA from 1 species